rnacentral:rRNA from 1 species
GACGUAGGAUGCGAGCGUUGUUCGGAAUUAUUGGGCGUAAAGAGCGUGUAGGCGGCCAUACAGGUCAGCUGUGAAAACUCGAGGCUCAACCUCGAGACGUCGGUUGAAACCGUAUGGCUAGAGUCCGGAAGAGGAGAGUGGAAUUCCCGGUGUAGCGGUGAAAUGCGCAGAUAUCAGGAAGAACACCUAUGGCGAAGGCAGCUCUCUGGGACGGUACUGACGCUGAGACGCGAAAGCGUGGGGAGCGAACAGG